CCUACGGGGGGCUGCAGUGAGGAAUAUUGGUCAAUGGACGAGAGUCUGAACCAGCCAAGUAGCGUGAAGGAUGACUGCCCUAUGGGUUGUAAACUUCUUUUAUAUGGGAAUAAAACGUUCAACGUGUGGGAUUUUGUAUGUACCAUAUGAAUAAGGAUCGGCUAACUCCGUGCCAGCAGCCGCGGUAAUACGGAGGAUCCGAGCGUUAUCCGGAUUUAUUGGGUUUAAAGGGAGCGUAGGUGGAUUGUUAAGUCAGUUGUGAAAGUUUGCGGCUCAACCGUAAAAUUGCAGUUGAAACUGGCAGUCUUGAGUACAGUAGAGGUGGGCGGAAUUCGUGGUGUAGCGGUGAAAUGCUUAGAUAUCACGAAGAACUCCGAUUGCGAAGGCAGUUCACUGGACUGCAACUGACACUGAGGCUCGAAAGUGUGGGUAUCAAACAGGAUUAGAUACCCUAGUAGUC
rnacentral:rRNA from 1 species